rnacentral:lncRNA from 10 species
CCAGAAUAAGCAGAUUUGGCUUCUAAUCUGACUCACCCAACUGGUUCAGAAUGCAGCCAAACCGGGGAAAUUUGGGCAAGAAGACUUGGAAGGUUCCUAGGAGGGAGUGGAAGUGUCAGGACAAAUGUGUUACUUGGGCUCCCAGCCCCAUUUUCUCCAAGAUUCCUGACGGGAUGUGAGAAAAAGCCCUCCUCUUGCCCCUCUCCUGAGGCCAACCAGCCGUCCCGAGAGCCCCUGUUCCUCCAGCUAGACCUCUGGGGGUUGGUCGGUAACCAUCCUUGGUUUGGAAGAUGCAGCUCUGUCUGAAGGAUGCUGCUAAGUCGAGGGCCCCCCCCCCAGUGGGGAACAAGCACUGCAGCAUGUCUGGCAGAACACCCCGGAAAGAGUGAUGCCCAGAAAGGAGACACCACCAUGAAGAGAGGACUGUGGCCAACUCGGACUCUCGUAACCCAGCCAUCUCACAGAAGGUGGAGGAAGCCAACAAGGGCUUGUGGUCAUUCAGCUGCAUUUGCCAGCACUCGGCACGCCCCCUGAGUCAAGGCGGGGGCCAUCCUAGGUGGCAAAGGGACAAGAAGACAAGGUCCACACCCACCAGGAAUCCAGGCCAGUGGGAAACAGUUGGCUACAUAGGCACAAAGGAAGAGCCGCUGAUUCUAUCUGGAAGGGGGUGACACACAAGCUGCACAGUGGAAGCUGGGUCGCAUUUCUGCAGGACAGGGGAGAACAACCAAGGGGCCAUGUUCAGAAACCACCGAUCCUGCUGUGCUGGGGGAGGUUGGGAAAUGAUAGGGGAGGAGGAUGGAAAUGCAUUGAAGACACUGAGCUUGGUCCUGUGCACCAUGUGGGGGAGGGCAGCAUCCAUUAUUUUUUUGGCUGAUUAUUAGAAUUGAUAUGCUUAUCAUAAAAAAAAUUGAGGGAGAAACAGAAAUAGGAUAAAGAUUAAAAUCACUCAUAUGCCAACUACCUAUAAACAACCACUGCUAGUUAAUAUUUUAAUGCUUUUGUAAACCAAGAAUUUUGUGAGGCAGGUGUCAAUUAAUUUAGAGGUUUAUUUUUCCAAGGUUAAGGAUGCACAUCCAGAAGACAGGUCUGUGCCUGUCUCCAAGGAUGAUUUUGAGGGCUUCAAUAUUUAAAGAAGAAAGGGUGGAUAUUGGUGAAAGGAAGAAAUUUUUAAAAGGCAUGGGUAGAUAAGAGGCAAAUGGUUGCAUUCUUUUGAGUCUUUGAUCAGCCCUUCACAUGUGAGAGGUGGGCAGAGGACUAGUCACCUAUGCAUUCAUCUAGCUCAGUGAAUCUGCAUUUUUACAUAAGAUAAAAUAAACAUAGGGGCCAGCAUGGUGGCUCAAGCCUGUAAUCCUAGCACUUUGGGAGGCCAAGGCAGGUGGAUCACUUGAGCUCAGGAGUUCGAGACCAGCCUGGGCAACAUGGCAAAACCUAAUUUCUACAAAAUAUACAACAAUUAGCUGGGCAUAAUGGCACAUGCCUGCGGUCCCAGCUACUUGGGAGGCUGAGGUGGGAGGAUCACCUGAGCCCAGGGAGGUAGAAGCUGCAGUGAGCUGUGAUCACGCCACCAUUCCCUCUCUAUAAUCUUUUGCUUUAUUUAUAAACAGUGCUGCAAUAAAUAACUUGGUACAUACGUCAUGUUUUACAUGUACAACUCUGUAUGCAGGAUAACUUCCUGGAAGUGAAAUUGCAGGUCAAAGGGCAGGUGCAGUUAUCAUUUUGGUGGAUAUCACCAAAUAGCUCUCCAUAGAAGUGAUGUUAAUUGCUUUAAAAUGUCCUUCUUUUGCUGUAAAUGAGGGACAUAAUAAAGUCUGAAUUUAGAGCUGGUAAGGCUGGAUUAGGGGAGGGUUGGCAGGGACCAGCUAGGAGGCUGCUACAAUCGUACAGGAGAAACCGCCUGGAACUGAACUACGGGCCAGAACCACUGGACUAAGGCAGUAGAAGAAGCUGGAGCCCUGAAUUCAAGGAACAUGCCAGACUUAGAACUGACAGGACACAGACAUGAUUGGCAUUUGGAGGUGAGGAAGCAAAGGUCUCUGACAGGGACGAGUGGGAAGCUGCAUCUGAAGUCAGAAACAAAAGCAGCCCAACAAGCUGGGCGUGGUGGCUCACACCUGUAAUCCCAGCACUUUGGGUGGCUAAGGCAGGAGGAUCGCUUGGGCCCAGGAGUUCAAGACCAGCCUGGGCAAAAAAGGCGACACUCCGUCUCUAUAAAAAAUACAAAAUUUAGCCAGGUGUGGUGGUGCGGUGCCUGUGGUUCCAGCCACACAGGAGACUGAGGCUGGAGGAUCACCUGAGCCAGGGAGGUCGAGGGUGUAGUAAGCAGUGGUCACGCCACUGCACCCCAGCCCAGGCAACACAGCAAAACACUAUCUCAAAAAAAAAAAAAAAAAAGAGCCCAACAGAGAAGGAAGGAGCCUCUCAGAUUUCAGGAGCCUCUGUUUCACAGAGGGAGAGAUAUUAAUUAUGAUGAUGAAGCUCUCAAUUUGUUUCAUUCUCCUAUGUUAGGAGAAUGACCAUUCUGAAAAAGAUAAAACACACACAUUAAGAGGGAAUUGAAAAUUUCCAUUCAUGAGCCGGGCACAGUGGCUCAUGCCUGCAAUCCCAGCACUUUGGGAGGCCAAGGCAGGUAGAUCACUUGAGGUCAGCGGUUCGAGACCAGCCUGGCCAACAUGGCGAAACACCAUCUCUACAAAAAAAAUACAAAAAAUUAGCCAGGUGUGGUGGUGCACGCCUGUAAUCCCAGCUACUUGAGAGGCUGAGGCAAGAGAAUUGCUUGAACCCAGGAGGCAGAGGUUGCAAUGAGCCAAGAUCGCACCACUGCAUUCCA